CGCGGCCUAUCAGCUUGUUGGUGGGGUUGUGGCCUACCAAGGCGACGACGGGUAGCCGGCCUGAGAGGGUGACCGGCCACACUGGGACUGAGACACGGCCCAGACUCCUACGGGAGGCAGCAGUGGGGAAUCUUGCGCAAUGGGCGAAAGCCUGACGCAGCGACGCCGCGUGGGGGAUGAAGGCCUUCGGGUUGUAAACCUCUUUCAGCAGGGAAGAAGCGAAAGUGACGGUACCUGCAGAAGAAGCACCGGCUAACUACGUGCCAGCAGCCGCGGUAAUACGUAGGGUGCAAGCGUUGUCCGGAAUUAUUGGGCGUAAAGAGCUCGUAGGUGGCGGGUCACGUCGGGUGUGAAAGCCCGGGGCUUAACCCCGGGUCUGCAUUCGAUACGGGCUUGCUAGGGUCCGGCAGGGGAGACUGGAAUUCCUGGUGUAGCGGUGAAAUGCGCAGAUAUCAGGAGGAACACCGGUGGCGAAGGCGGGUCUCUGGGCCGGUACCGACGCUGAGGAGCGAAAGCGUGGGGAGCGAACAGGAUUAGAUACCCUGGUAGUCCACGCCGUAAACGUUGGGCGCCAGGUGUGGGGAGCAUUCCACGUUCUCUGUGCCGUAGCUAACGCAUUAAGCGCCCCGCCUGGGGAGUACGG
rnacentral:rRNA from 1 species